GACGUAGGGCGCGAGCGUUGUCCGGAUUUAUUGGGCGUAAAGAGCUCGUAGGCGGCUUGUCGCGUCGAAUGUGAAAUCUCAGGGCUCAACUCUGACAUUGCAUUCGAUACGGGCAGGCUAGAGUUCGGUAGGGGAGACUGGAAUUCCUGGUGUAGCGGUGAAAUGCGCAGAUAUCAGGAGGAACACCGGUGGCGAAGGCGGGUCUCUGGGCCGAUACUGACGCUAAGGAGCGAAAGCGUGGGGAGCGAACAGG
rnacentral:rRNA from 1 species